GUCACCAAGCCCCUCCUCCCUCCCGUCUUCUUCUUCUUCGUCGCCUCCUCGUCGCCUUCCCUUUGAUUUCUCUCUAGUAGCAUCGAUCGUCCGUCCUCAUCUGUCGUCUCUGUCUUCUUCGUCGUCGUCUUCUUCUCUAUUUCGGUUCAACUACUAGUAGCUUCCUGAAGCUUUAGCUUUGCAUGCACUUCCCUACUUCUGCUGCUACCAAAGAUCUUCAGUAGUAGUGUAAGAAGGAAAUCGAGGCCAGCAAGAAGAAGAGCUCCGAUUCCUCUGCUAGUUCUGCUGGUGUGGUGUUGUG
rnacentral:lncRNA from 1 species